GAAAUUCCAAUGUGUGCGAAUCGGCAAAAAAUGCAAAAUAGCCCUUUUACCGUACAUUAUACAGAUACGCGCUCUUUGACUUUUUCGUAGAUCUAAUUGAGAUACACAUGAUUGUCAAUUUUUGUGUCAUUUUGCCAAAGCGUACAGGCGUGACAGUCAACAAUGUGUAUUUUCACCUUAGGGGACAAGAAAAAAUGGACUUUUUUCUCCUGCCAUGGGGGGGCGCUCUUUUAGGGAGUAAAAAUUCCUUCACAAAUGUGUUGAUGGCUGGACAUUGCAUCAUCCUAGAAAACUUGGAGGCCAGUGAGGACAAAAAUAAAAAGUUAUAAGACUUUUAAAAAUGUGGAUUUUUGGGUUAUCUUUGGCGCCCCCUAGAACGUAAACCGUGGGGUGCAGCGUCAUGAUUUGAAUAACUUUUAAUGGCCAUGGGGUGUAAUUUGGCCUGAGCAAAUUUGGUGUCGGUGGGACGAAAGCCUUAGGAGGAGUUAGCCACAUUCCAAUGUGUGCGAAUCGGGAAAAAAUGCGAAAUAGCCCUUUGACCGUACAUUUGACAGAUACGUGCCCAUUGACUUUUUCGUAGAUCUUAUUGAGAUACACAUGUGUGUCAAAUUUUGUGUCAUUUUGACAAAGCGUAUAGGCGUGACAGUCAACAAUGUGUUUUUUCACCUUAGGGGACAAGAAAAAAUGGACUUUUUUCUCCUGCCAUGGGGGGGCGCUCUUUUGGAGAGUAAAAAUUCCUUUACAAAUGUGUUGAUGGCUGGACAUUGCAUCAUCCUAGAAAACUUGGAGGCCAGUGAGGACAAAAAUAAAAAGUUAUAAGACUAUUAAGAAUGUGGAUUUUUGGGUUAUGUUUGGUGCCCCCUAGAACCUAAACCGUGGAGUGCAGCGUCAUGAUUUGAAUAACUUUGAAUGGCCAUGGGGUGUAGAUUGGCCUGAGCAAAUGUGGUGCCGGUGGAACGAAAGCCUUCGGAGGAGUUAGCGAAAUUCCAAUGUGUGCGGAUCGGCAAAAAAUGCGGAAUAACCCUUUAACCGUACAUUUGACAGAUACGUGCGCAUUGACUUUUUUGUAGAUCUUAUUGAGAUACAUGUGUGUGUCAAUUUUGGUGUCAUUUUGACAAAGCGUACAGG